AACGAACGUUGGCGUAGGCUUAACACAUGCAAGUCGAACGAGAAAUCACCUUCGGGUGGUGGACAGUGGCGAACGGGUGAGUAAUACUUGGGAAUCUACCCUGAAGUGGGGGAUAACAGUUGGAAACGACUGCUAAUACCGCAUAAUCCAUAUUGGGAAAGCUUUAGUGCUUUAGGAUGAGCCCAAGCCUGAUUAGCUUGUUGGUGCGGUAACGGCGCACCAAGGCGACGAUCAGUAGCUGGUUUGAGAGGAUGAUCAGCCACACUGGGACUGAGACACGGCCCAGACUCCUACGGGAGGCAGCAGUGGGGAAUAUUGCGCAAUGGGCGAAAGCCUGACGCAGCCAUACCGCGUGUACGAUGAAGGCCUUAGGGUUGUAAAGUACUUUUACCAGUCAUAAUAGUGAUAGUAGCUGGAGAAAAAGUCCCGGCUAAUUCAGUG
rnacentral:rRNA from 1 species